GAAAAGAGCAAUCUGCUAAUAGAUGGGCUUGCGUCUGAUUAGCUAGUUGGUGUGGUAAAGGCAUACCAAGGCAACGAUCAGUAGCCGGACUGAGAGGUUGAACGGCCACAUUGGGACUGAGAUACGGCCCAGACUCCUACGGGAGGCAGCAGUCGGGAAUAUUGCGCAAUGGGGGCAACCCUGACGCAGCAACGCCGCGUGAUUGAAGAAGGUCUUCGGAUUGUAAAAUCUUUAAUCAGGGACGAAGAAAAUGACGGUACCUGAAGAAUAAGCUCCGGCUAACUAC
rnacentral:rRNA from 1 species